rnacentral:rRNA from 1 species
CGCGUAGGCGGUUUGAUAAGUGGGAUGUGAAAGCCCUGGGCUUAACCUGGGAACUGCAUUCCAAACUGUCAGACUAGAGUAUGGUAGAGGGUGGUAGAAUUUCCUGUGUAGCGGUGAAAUGCGUAGAUAUAGGAAGGAAUACCGAUGGCGAAGGCAGCCACCUGGACCAAUACUGACGCUGAGGUGCGAAAGCGUGGGGAGCAAACA